rnacentral:rRNA from 1 species
UACGUAGGGGGCAAGCGUUGUCCGGAUUUAUUGGGCGUAAAGAGCGUGUAGGCGGCCAGACAGGUCCGUUGUGAAAACUCGAGGCUCAACCUCGAGAUGUCGAUGGAAACCGUCUGGCUAGAGUCCGGAAGAGGAGCGUGGAAUUCCUGGUGUAGCGGUGAAAUGCGCAGAUAUCAGGAAGAACGCCUAUGGCGAAGGCAGCACUCUGGGACGGUACUGACGCUGAGACGCGAAAGCGUGGGGAGCGAACAGG